rnacentral:rRNA from 1 species
GGGUUGUGAGGUUAAGCGACUAAGCGUACACGGUGGAUGCCCUGGCAGUCAGAGGCGAUGAAGGACGUGCUAAUCUGCGAUAAGCGCCGGUAAGGUGAUAUGAACCGUUAUAACCGGCGAUUUCCGAAUGGGGAAACCCAGUGUGAUUCGUCACACUAUCAUUAACUGAAUCCAUAGGUUAAUGAGGCGAACCGGGGGAACUGAAACAUCUAAGUACCCCGAGGAAAAGAAAUCAACCGAGAUUCCCCCAGUAGCGGCGAGCGAACGGGGAGGAGCCCAGAGCCUGAAUCAGCAUAUGUGUUAGUGGAAGCGUCUGGAAAGGCGCGCGAUACAGGGUGACAGCCCCGUACACAAAAGCGCAUGUGCUGUGAGCUCGAUGAGUAGGGCGGGACACGUGGUAUCCUGUCU